rnacentral:rRNA from 1 species
UACGUAGGGUGCAAGCGUUAUCCGGAAUCACUGGGCGUAAAGCGUGCGUAGGCGGGCAUUUAAGUGAGAUGUUAAAUCGUGUGGCUCAACCAUAUCGAUGCGUCUCAUACUGGGUUCCUAGAGGAUGGCAGAGGCAAGUGGAAUUGGUAGUGUAGCAGUGAAAUGCGUAGAUAUUACCAGGAACACCAAUGGCGAAGGCAGCUUGCUGGGCCACCCCUGACGCUGAGGUACGAAAGCGUGGGGAGCGAACAGG